rnacentral:rRNA from 1 species
GGGUUAGUGGCGGACGGGUGAGUAACGCGUGAGAAUCUGCCCUCAGGAGGGGGACAACAGCUGGAAACGGCUGCUAAUACCCCAUAUGCCGCGAGGUGAAAUGAAUUUCGCCUGAGGAUGAGCUCGCGUCUGAUUAGCUAGUUGGUGUAGGUAAUGGCUCACCAAGGCAUCGAUCAGUAGCUGGUCUGAGAGGAUGAUCAGCCACACUGGGACUGAGACACGGCCCAGACUCCUACGGGAGGCAGCAGUGGGGAAUUUUCCGCAAUGGGCGAAAGCCUGACGGAGCAACGCCGCGUGAGGGAUGAAGGCCUCUGGGCUGUAAACCUCUUUUAUCAAGGAAGAAGAUCUGACGGUACUUGAUGAAUAAGCCACGGCUAAUUCCGUGCCAGCAGCCGCGGUAAUACGGGAGUGGCAAGCGUUAUCCGGAAUUAUUGGGCGUAAAGCGCGCGUAGGCGGAUUAGUCAGUUAGAGGUGAAAUCCCGGGGCUCAACCCCGGAACUGCCUUUAAUACUGCUAGUCUUGAGUUCGAGAGAGGUGAGUGGAAUUCCGAGUGUAGAGGUGAAAUUCGUAGAUAUUCGGAGGAACACCAGUGGCGAAGGCGGCUCACUGGCUCGAUACUGACGCUGAGGUGCGAAAGUGUGGGGAGCAAACAGGAUUAGAUACCCUGGUAGUCCACACCGUAAACGAUGAAUGCC